rnacentral:lncRNA from 1 species
GAGGGAAAAUCUAGAUUGAUCGUCCUUAGUGAAAAAGUGUGGUCGUCCUAGGUCUAUUAUCUCUACCUUAAAAAACAUGUCCUUGAAUCCUUUAAAGGACAAGGAGAAUAACUCAAAUAAGGAGUUUUUCGGUUCAGAUAUUAAUGAUACCCGUCCCUUUUUGGCAUUCGGUCGGGUACGGAAAUAAUAAAGAAAUAUGGCCAGUGUGAGGUUAUAUUCAAAUAACUCGACACACUGGCAAAAGCUUCAAUGUAACCUACCUGGUGGGGUGUAGUUGGGAGGGCACUGUAUUCAACGCCUUUAACACUCUCAUUUGAAAAGAAUUAAAUGACAUUCGUAUGUAUAUUUCACGCAACAUAUAGGGAUAGACAAAAAGGAAAUAAUUUGAAUGGUUUUCCUUCUUGUGGAAAACUUGCUCAUUGUCUUUACAAGUAGAUAAUUUAAUCAGGGGGUUACAAUCUAGGGUUCUCAAUACACAGUUGUUCUCUACCCAUCUUUCUAAUUCUACCCUAUUGGAAAAUAAACUAUUGUACUCACUAAUGUUGUAAGAAGCCCAAUCAUAUCCAUUAAUGUUGGGCAAAGACUGGGAUGCAUCUUCUUCCCUAGGACCUUCAAUCGCGACGUUGCCAUAAACAAAGGCAUUAUCGCCACUGAGUAGAGUUUUUGCGCUACUGUCUUCCCUGUGUAGUGUUGUUUAUACGGCGGUUGGUGCGUCGUUGUAGCUACCUCACCCUUCUCCUCCCAUGGGCUCAGAUGAAGAAGACAAAAUCACAAUAGGGUUCAUGAUUACCUGAGGUAUGCAAGGAAAAAAGCUUUGGGGAUGAAGAGAUGGUUGUCGUACUUUCAAGGGAAACAACGGUUAAGAAAUCAAAAUGAUUUCAAAUAUCUUUUGCAUUUAUAACUGACGCGUUCAGAUCUAAUGUGAGCCGUAGGAUCAUUUUUAAUCUUACGGUCCUUAGCACCAGACUCUGCAACUACCUCAGAGGUGGGAAAUGCAAAUUUGACGGUGCCAGAUUCUCAUCCUAUGGUGUAUGGCACUCUUUUUAAAGAAUGAGGCGGUUACAGCAUGGAGCUUAAGCUCGAACACCCAUUGUAAGUCCUAUAGUUCACCUUUCUUUAGGCUGAAUGGUUAACUCGAACUUGGGGGACAUAUGUAUGGUAUGUAUUACUGACCAAACGGUUUAUGAUGGAACAGUUCAGUCUAAUUGAUACGCCAGGCACACCAAAGUUAAUGGUUUUGUCUACUAUGGGCCGAAAUGGGGCCAACAUUUAAGUUAUUGGGUCGUAACAAGGCUAGCACUUAAAUUGUGAUUGAAGGUCCAAUAAUUAUUAUUAUGGGACUAUAAUUUAACAAUUAGCAAAAUAAUAACAAAAUGGUUGAAGAUAUUGAUUACGGGAAUACGGAAUCAGUUUCUAAGCAAAGACCGAAAAGAAGGUAAGUUAGUUUUAUUGGAUCCGUAAUAAUUUAAGGUCCAAUAAGUAGCCUAUAAAUAAAGGGCUAAACCAAAAAGGUACGUAAGUUUAAUAAAAGUCUGAAUACUCAUUAUCUAUUGAAUAUUAUCAUUAUUAUCAUUUGAAGUCACCAACUUAAGCGUCGGAAUGUCUUUAGUAAUACCUCUCCUUAUCGGACCUAAAGGACUUGGAGUAGAAAAUUCAAAAGUCAUAUGAUAGGAAAGUGAAGGCGAGAAAGUUAGUCUCUUAGCCUACAUAAAUAUAUACAGAAACAAUGUUGAAAAAUCUAUGUAAAUUCUCUUAUUAGAAAAUGGUCUUUAAGAGAAAAACAUUACAAAGGCAUGCGGGAGUAAGGAGUUGGACUGUCUCCGUGUCAUUUUCUAAAUAAAAUUUUAUUUCUAUCUUCAUUCUUAUGAUUCUUUUAUAUAUAUAUAUGGGUUUGCUAAUUUACGUAAGGAGGUUUUUUAGUUGGUACAUUUUAGUAAAGUGUACCAAGUUUUAUGUUACAAAAAUGUCUCUGUUAAAAAAGAAAAUCAACUUUAAAUCCAAGGGUAUUUUAAUAAUUUUAAAAUUUAAUUUAAAAUAAAAAAAUAAAAUGUAGUUAUUAAAAAUCCUGAUUGGUCCACGUGUACAAGUUAUUAGCUUUUAUUAUAUAUUUUUUAAAAGAUAGUUGUUUUUUAAAAUAAUAAAUAAAAUAAAAGGUAGUUGUUUUUUAAUCCAGAUGGGUUUUAUAAACCCAGACGGGUUCUAUAAACUCAGACGGGUUCUAUAAACCCAAACAGGUUCUAUAAACCCAGACGGGUUCUAUAAACCCUAGGUAGUUGUUUUUUUAACCCAGACGGGUUUUAUAAACCCAAACGGGUUCUAUAAACCCUAAACCAUAAACCCCAAGCCAUUAUAUUUUUUAAAAGGUAAUUAUUUUUUAAAAUAAAAAAUAAAAUAAAAGGUAGUUGUUUUUAAAAUUAAAAAUAAAAUAAAAGGUAAUAACUUCUCUCUUACACGUGGACCAAUCAAAAUUUUUAAUAA